CAUUCGAAGAGUACAGCUAUCGAUAUUGUAACCAGGAUUAUCAGACAACUGACUUACGAAGACGACCAGUUCCAAUAUCUUCACACAAUGGCUAACAAAGUAGUACUUGCUGUCUGUAUCUUACUUGUACUCAAUAUGUCUUUGAUGUGUUCAGCGUUUACAAGUGUGAUAACUAAUGGCUGCUCCGGAGGCAGCUGUAGGUCUAUUGACAAAAGAGCAAGUGAGAUCCCUGUACGAACCACGAGAUGCAUAAAGUAUGUCCUACAGCGACACGGAAAGGAGGUAGAAAACUGCUUCGUUGGAGGGUUUGCAUAGAUGCAUGCAGGAUUAACGACCAUGGCUACUGACAAGAAGAUAGAAAAUGGAAAAAAUACCUUUUUUAAUCCCACAGAAUUGAAAAACUGAUUUAAUCAAUGAACGACUAAAUUAUUUUAGACAAAACAUCAUUUUUGAAUCCUACAGGAUUUAUAUAAUCAAUUCAAAUAAACUAUACUGAAAUACUUAUUUUAGUUUUCAUUCAGUUUCAAAUUAAUUUUAAAAGACUUUCAAUUUGUAAGGCCGCUAAAGAGUAAACUGAUUUCGAGAGAGAUCGAGUUACAAGAGCA